rnacentral:misc_RNA from 1 species
AAUAAUUAAGAACUGAGAGUAUAUACUAAAUAAAUUGCCCUUAAUUCUAAUAGUUCACAGCAAAAUGGCAAAAAGGUUAAAAAAGAAAAUUGUUGACUGAAACUUUUUUUACCCUGAAUUACGAAUCUAAUUACUAGCAUUCAGAUGGUUGGAAGGAAUGAUCCUAGUCCAUUCCUAUAUAAUGCAAAUAGUCAUAUAACGAUAAUAAAUAUAUAAAAUAAUUAUACAACAAUAUUACAAAUUUGAUAUUCAUUCACCGGUAGAUGGCAGCGCAUGAAAUGGGCGGCUUCAGAAGCUGCGCGGUAAGUGGGGAUGGGACGUGUUCACUCAAUCUUUCAAUAGAUCUCAGUGAAUGUCGGUGUUAUUCGUUUUUAAGAAUGUUUUCACGUGUUGGAUUAUUAGUUUAUUAAAUAGCUGUGUGUCCAACAAAAAGAACAUCUUUGCUUAGCCGAAUCAAGGAUAGCUGUUAUUGUCUCCAAGGGCAACAGAAAUUUUCCUGGCCCGAGCUUUCCGCAUUCGUCUAGUCUUCCGCCAUGUUUUACCACUUGAAAUAUUACCAGUUGGCGUAAAUUACAAAAAAUAAAUAAAAUUUAAAAGGUGCCGAGCAUCUGGAUCUUGCGAUCUAUUGAUAGCAGUUAUAUACAGAUCGAAAUAAGAAAUAAAGUGUUUUUGUACUGCCAUUGUACAUCGGACAUAACAUCAUACUGAUGUUCUGAAAAGUUACUAAACUUGUACAAGCAAGCAAAACAUGGCGAUGAUAACUAUUUUGCAUUUGAUUCAGAUGGUGACUAUGCAUUGGAUCUUUGAUUGCGGCUGCUUUAGUGCUAUUACAAAGAAAAUAGAUUAGCAUUAUCAGGGAACUUGCUUUCCUGAAGACAGCACAACUGUGACAAGGUCACGCAGAUGUUCCUUAUCUCGCCGUCCAAGGAAAUAGUUCUCAGACAAAGGGACUCUUGCAGGGGGCUUGGAAUGCGGUUUCGAGAUUGCAACUGUGUUUCUUACCCGAAGGGAUAUUCUCACUAUGAUUCAGCGUAUGACAAGCGACCGUAGAGUCGAGCUUUGGACAUCGUGAGGCAAGGUUGUUUCAAAAGAGCGUAGACGAAGUGUGUACAAGAGGUAUAUUUUACAAGUGCACAUCUGUGUAGCCACCGAGGGAGUGACUUCUAGGAUGGACCAACGGCCUUCCAGUAAUAUUUCUAUCAUGUCAACCUUUGGUUUAAGCAAGAUGGUUGAAAACAAUUUGCCACGCAAUUUCCUGUACAAAAUAAUUAAAGCUUCGUCGAUUUCUUCGGAAAAUUUUCAUUGCGAACUUAGAUCAAAUAUAAGCAGUUUGCGAAGAUUUCACUACCUGGUUGAAAGAAAUACAAACACGUGUUGGCUACUCCGCAAAACUUGGACGGAUCAAUCUCGGUUUCUGGUUUCAAUGAACUACAUUUGUCAGCAUGCUUCAUAUCGUAAAGUAAAGAUAUGCAAACAUCUGGUAGUGAAGAAAAGGUACCUAAGGAUGCAAUGGUCACUUUACAAGGUCCUUCUAGUUUAAAUGUAAAGAUAUCUGAAAGACGAAUUCGCUCCAAGAAACUCAGGAUGCGGAUGUACGCUGAUGAAGAAGAAAAAAUUAGAUCUAUUCGGGUGAAAAUAGGAGAAAGUGCUGUUUUUAGAGCAAAUACAAAGAAAUAUCCGUGAUGAUGAUACAGCAUAAAUGAUAUGCAGCAAACUAGCUGUGAAAAAAAAAGAAAAUCCCAUGCAGAUAGAAAACGUGAUCUUGAUGUAGAGAUCUCUGAAUCUGAAAGACGAAUUCGCUCCAACAAACUCACGAUGACAAUGUAUGCUGAUGAUGAAGAAGAAAAAAUUAGAGCUAUUCGUUCUGGUGCGUAUAGAUCAUCAUCUUGGAAUGUUCAAAAUAGAUUAGGAACAAAAUAUAACAAAGAUGGCUUGCGUCAUCAAAAUGGGAAGUUGGCCUGCAAAAAUGCUGGAGGCUCAGCCUCUGAUGAAUAUAAAGAUCUGGAAUCAAAAAACAAAAGACAAACUAAGAAGAAUCACAAUAACCAAUCACCACUGCCUCGAGGUGAUGAUAAACCUGUAGGCAGGAAGAGAUAUUCCCGUUUUAGUAGGUGGGAAGACUUAUGUGAUACUGAUGAUUUUUCUGAGGAUGAUGAAGAACAUUAAAUGAAGAUUAACAUCAAUUGUGGACUAUGGCCAUAUAAAUUAAAAUCUCGCUAUUUGUAAUUUUUGCUAUAUUAAGCUAUGCAUGUGAAUUUUAUAUUGUUAAUGGUUUUAUGUACCAGCUCUUAAAUUUAAUAAAUGUAAUUUGUACCUUUAC